UGCAGUCGAGCGGACAGAAGGGAGCUUGCUCCCGGAUGUUAGCGGCGGACGGGUGAGUAACACGUGGGUAACCUGCCUGUAAGACUGGGAUAACUCCGGGAAACCGGAGCUAAUACCGGAUAGUUCCUUGAACCGCAUGGUUCAAGGAUGAAAGACGGUUUCGGCUGUCACUUACAGAUGGACCCGCGGCGCAUUAGCUAGUUGGUGGGGUAAUGGCUCACCAAGGCGACGAUGCGUAGCCGACCUGAGAGGGUGAUCGGCCACACUGGGACUGAGACACGGCCCAGACUCCUACGGGAGGCAGCAGUAGGGAAUCUUCCGCAAUGGACGAAAGUCUGACGGAGCAACGCCGCGUGAGUGAUGAAGGUUUUCGGAUCGUAAAGCUCUGUUGUUAGGGAAGAACAAGUGCGAGAGUAACUGCUCGCACCUUGACGGUACCUAACCAGAAAGCCACGGCUAACUACGUGCCAGCAGCCGCGGUAAUACGUAGGUGGCAAGCGUUGUCCGGAAUUAUUGGGCGUAAAGGGCUCGCAGGCGGUUUCUUAAGUCUGAUGUGAAAGCCCCCGGCUCAACCGGGGAGGGUCAUUGGAAACUGGGAAACUUGAGUGCAGAAGAGGAGAGUGGAAUUCCACGUGUAGCGGUGAAAUGCGUAGAGAUGUGGAGGAACACCAGUGGCGAAGGCGACUCUCUGGUCUGUAACUGACGCUGAGGAGCGAAAGCGUGGGGAGCGAACAGGAUUAGAUACCCUGGUAGUCCACGCCGUA
rnacentral:rRNA from 2 species